AGUGCCUGCAAGGACUGGAUUUUCUUCACUCAAACCAUGUGAUCCACCGAGAUGUGAAGAGCCGCAACAUCCUUCUCAGAACCGAUGGCUCUGUCAAGCUGGCUGACUUUGGCCUCUUUGCUCAGCUCCCCCCUGAGCAGAGUAGACGGAGCUCCAUGGCCGGCACUUCUGGGUGGAUGGCGCCUGAAGUGGUGACAGGUCAACCAUAUGGCCCCAAAGUGGACAUAUGGUCUUUUGGAAUCGUGGGCAUUGAAAUGGUGGAACGAGAAGUUCCUUGCUGGAAUGAAACUCCUGGCACGCCUCAACUCCUGAUAGCCAUAUGAGGGAUACCAAAGCUGCAGCAGCCCAACCUGUUUUCUCCUUGCCUGCGUGACUUCCUGAGCUGCUGCCUGCAGACAGAUGAGGCACGGCGCUGGUCUGCCAAGGAUCUCCUGCAGGUAAAAUGCAAAGGGGCUGCAGGUGAAACAGGGUGCGAGGGAUGGGCUCCUCCUCCACGCAAGUCCAAGGCAUCAGAUGAGCCCCCUUCCUCCUCACCUCCACUCUUGGUGCUCUUCAAAUGAAAACGGUGAAGAAUCCUAGACUGAGCUGGG